GACUACGUUCAAAAAAAAUCA
ensembl:piRNA 21ur-716 ncRNA